rnacentral:other from 1 species
UUCCCUGCGUGGUGCGUGUAGACUGAAAUUUUAUUACCAACAAAUUAAUAAAAGGGAGUCUGCCUUUGAUGGUGGCGUGUAUGCUUAUCUUUUUAUAAGAAUAAGAAACCCAUAAGCCUUCAACAGGACACCCACCUGUGAAAACAGGUAUAAAAAUUUCUUUUCGAUAUACGGCUAAGGUGGGGA